rnacentral:rRNA from 1 species
UACGUAGGGGGCAAGCGUUGUCCGGAUUUAUUGGGCGUAAAGAGCGUGUAGGCGGUCAGAUAGGUCCGUUGUGAAAACUCGAGGCUCAACCUCGAGACGCCGAUGGAAACCAUCUGACUAGAGUCCGGAAGAGGAGAGUGGAAUUCCUGGUGUAGCGGUGAAAUGCGCAGAUAUCAGGAAGAACACCCGUGGCUAAGGCGGCUCACUGGACUGGUAUUGACGCUGAGGUGCGAAAGCGUGGGGAGCAAACAGG